rnacentral:rRNA from 1 species
UACGUAGGUGGCGAGCGUUGUCCGGAUUUAUUGGGUUUAAAGGGUGCGUAGGCGGUCCUGUAAGUCAGUGGUGAAAUAUCACAGCUCAACUGUGAGGGUGCCAUUGAUACUGUAGGACUUGAGUGAAUUUGAGGUAGGCGGAAUUGACGGUGUAGCGGUGAAAUGCUUAGAUAUCGUCAAGAACACCGAUAGUGAAGACAGCUUACCAAGCUUCAACUGACGCUGAGGCACGAAAGUGUGGGGAUCAAACAGG